CAUUAUUUUUCAAGAAAUUAUAUAUCUAUAUACUAUAUAUAAGCAUUUCCCAUGUACAAAGUAGUAAUUUCCUACACAAAUUUUAAGAUGGCAGCCCAAAAGGCAACAACAAAUCCCCAAUUUUAACACUUUUUCUUCCCAUCCUGCCCCUCUCCCCCUCGACUGAUCGUCAUUCACACCACAGCAACUGAAUGCAAUUGAAAGCCAUUAAGACGCCAAUGAUAAGUCGGAGGAAGCCAAGGUCGGACGUAACAUUAAUACAAUUGAUUAUUGUUUCCUUUUGACGCACACCAUUUAUUUUCCUCUCUGUCUCUUUGGCACAACAUUCAUCAGAGCAUUCUUCUCAAAUUUCUUAAUUCAAGGAAGCAAAACGAAGAAGAAAAUCAUGGGUGAAAAUGGUUUGGCUUCUAGGUCUUCUGAAGAGUUGAUACCAGAGGUUGAUCAUGAUGAUGGACAAGCAGACGACGUUACCAGUAGCACCUAAGGUUCUAGCAGAACUCCGGCAAGUCAGAUCCGUCGUGCGUGUCCCAUUUUGGUGUAGAUCGAUCGGCGAACAUCGAGGUUUCUUGAUAAAUUGGCAUCGACUUUUGGAUUAAUGAAGACUGAUUGAACAUUAAUCCAGCUUCAAAAUCUUGAUAUUGGCAGGCAACUGGAAAUAAAGAGUUUUGUAGUAAAAAAUAAGUUGAGGAAAGUGCAACUUGCUCAAGUUUUGGAAUCUUAACUGAGGUUGAAGGGCUUGGCAAAGCAGUGGUACACUCACAGCUAAUUUUCUGAACUAGAUAAGA